CGCGUAGCUCAGUUGGCAGAGCAGCUGACUCUUAAUCAGCGGGUCGGGGGUUCGAGUCCCCCCGCG
rnacentral:tRNA from 1 species